CCGCGUGCAGGAAGACGGCCUUCUGGGUUGUAAACUGCUUUUCUACGGGAAGAAAAUGCCCUUGCGAGGGAAAUUGCCGGUACCGUAGGAAUAAGCACCGGCUAACUCCGUGCCAGCAGCCGCGGUAAUACGGAGGGUGCAAGCGUUGUCCGGAUUUAUUGGGUUUAAAGGGUGCGUAGGCGGAUCUUUAAGUCAGUGGUGAAAGCCUGCAGCUUAACUGUAGAACUGCCAUUGAUACUGGAGGUCUUGAGUACACUAGAGGUAGGCGGAAUUUAUGGUGUAGCGGUGAAAUGCAUAGAUACCAUAAAGAACACCUAUAGCGUAGGCAGCUUACUGGAGUGUAACUGACGCUGAGGCACGAAAGCAUGGGGAGCGAACAGGAUUAGAUACCCUGGUAGUCCAUGCCGUAAACGAUGAUUACUCGAUGUUGGCGAUAUACUGUCAGCGUCCAAGCGAAAGCGUUAAGUAAUCCACCUGGGGAGUACGCUCGCAAGAGUGAAA
rnacentral:rRNA from 1 species